CCUACGGGUGGCAGCAGUGAGGAAUAUUGGUCAAUGGGCGCGAGCCUGAACCAGCCAAGUCGCGUGAGGGAUGACUGCCCUACGGGUUGUAAACUUCUUUUAUAAGGGAAUAAAGUGAGGCACGUGUGCCUUUUUGUAUGUACUUUGUGAAUAAGGCACGGCUAACUCCGUGCCAGCAGCCGCGGUAAUACGGAGGAUCCGAGCGUUAACCGGAUUUUUUGGGUUUAAAGGGAGCGUAGAUGGGUUGGUAAGUCAGUUGUGAAAGUUUGCGGAUCAACCGUAAAAUUGCAAUUGAGACUGGGAGUCUUGAGUACAGGUGAGGUAGGCGGAAUUCGUGGUGUAGCGGUGAAAUGCGUAGAUAUCACGAAGAACUCCGAUUGCGAAGGCAGCUUACUAGACUGCCACUGACAUUGAGGCUCGAAAGUGUGGGGAUCAAACAGGAUUAGAUACCCGAGUAGUC
rnacentral:rRNA from 1 species